rnacentral:rRNA from 1 species
UACGGAGGGUGCAAGCGUUAUCCGGAUUUACUGGGUUUAAAGCGUGCGCAGGCGGUUUUGUAAGCCAGAUGUGAAAUCCCCGGGCUUAACCUGGGAAUGGCAUUUGGGACUGCAAGGCUCGAGUGCGGCAGAGGAGACUGGAAUUCCUGGUGUAGCAGUGAAAUGCGUAGAUAUCAGGAGGAACACCGAUGGCGAAGGCAGGUCUCUGGGCUGACACUGACGCUCAUGCACGAAAGCGUGGGGAGCAAACAGG